UGAAACGUGCCCUCUUGUGCACUCAGUCGUACAGAGAGCUUGUCCCUCAGCUCAGCUGGCAGAAAGCAGUCUUCUGGAAUUUUCUGUGUUCUUCAGGAAGGGCACAAUCAGCUGCCCAGAACCAUUAUCUAAAGAAUUGGGACAUAGAAUUGCACACAUUAACCCAGCCUCUCCUCUCUUCCUCCGCCCUCUGACUCAACAAUUGGUGUGGGUCUUGGGAAAAUUAGAAUAUACUACAGCUAUACCUUCCAAACCAAGAGUCAAGUUCUCCUGUGCAUGAACUCAGGCAGACACCAGAGAGAGACCUACCUGGCAACAAGUAUCAAAAGAAAUAAGAUGUAACAAAACAGGUAAAUGUUAACAUUCAGUGUUUCCCAGCGUACUGUAUUUAUUUUCCCCUCCUUGUUUCACUCCCCUUUUGAGACCAAGAAUUGUCAUCUGGAAAAGAAGAAAUUUCCUCUUGGUUUGUUGCAUCAGAGCGUAUAGGAAGGUUUGAAAAAUUUUAGGUAUUUGAAAACUACUGUCUAUUUUUAGAACCACAAACACUGAGUCUGUUUCCCAGAGGUCUUUUGUGGUGCCUUUCAGAUGUUGGCUAUGAAGUCUUUGAAUUCUUAGAGAAAGUAGCUGGGUCUUUUUUUCCUUCCAACAGCUUAUUUUGUCCUUUCAAUUGAAGAGAACACUGUUAUAAACAGCUGUUCCUGCUUCGUACUAGAGCUCAUCUCUACCGUAACAGCUCUGCUGAAAAGAAAAAGAAAAAUGAUCUCCCAGUGUGGAUUCAGUCCUGUGUGAACUUUUGCUUUCCUUUCUUCUGCAAGGCUCUGUCCCUCACCCAGAAUGGGCAGCCUGCCCCUGUCUACCCCGAGAUGUCCUGUGUUACAAGGAUCAAUGACAUGACCUAGCCUUAUCUUGUACUAGGAAAUCAUAGAGCUAUCAAGAGGGCGGAAAAUACCUUUUCUCUCCCGCUCCUCCCUCCAGCCAACUGCAAUCAGCACAAGUUUUACUGUAAAUGCAGAGGUAAGAGGAAAAAGCAGCAGCAGGAGGC
rnacentral:lncRNA from 1 species